AGCUCCAAUAGCGUAUAUUAAAGUUGUUGCAGUUAAAAAGCUCGUAGUUGAAACUUGGGCCUGGCUGGCCGGUCCGCCUCACCGCGUGUACUGGUCCGGCCGGGCCUUUCCUUCUGGGGAAGCUCAUGGCCUUCACUGGGUGUGUGGGGGAACCAGGACUUUUACUUUGAAAAAAUUAGAGUGUUCAAAGCAGGCCUUUGCUCGAAUACAUUAGCAUGGAAUAAUAGAAUAGGACGUGCGGUUCUAUUU
rnacentral:rRNA from 1 species